UACGUAGGGUGCGAGCGUUGUCCGGAAUUAUUGGGCGUAAAGAGCUCGUAGGCGGUCUGUCGCGUCUGCUGUGAAAACCCGAGGCUCAACCUCGGGCCUGCAGUGGGUACGGGCAGACUAGAGUGCGGUAGGGGAGAUUGGAAUUCCUGGUGUAGCGGUGGAAUGCGCAGAUAGUCAGGAGGAACGCCGAUGGCGAAGGCAGAUCUCUGGGCCGUAACUGACGCUGAGGAGCGAAAAGCGUGGGGAGCGAACAGG
rnacentral:rRNA from 1 species